CUGAUUAUAUUAAAGAGCCGCAGUAUUCUGACUGUGCGAAGGUAGCAUAAUAAAUUGUCUUUUAAAUGGAGGCUUGAAUGAAAGGUUGGACAAAGUGUCAUCUGUUUCUUAAAUAUUUAUUGAAUUUGACUUUCAAGUGAAAAGGCUUGAAUAAAUUAAAAAGACGAUAAGACCCUAUAAAUCUUUACAAUAAACAUGUUCUAUAUUUUAAUUUAUAAGUGUAUAAAAUAUUAAAUUUGUAUUUGUUUCGCUGGGGCGGCGUGGAUAUAUUAAUAAACUGUCUAUGUGUUAAAUCCAAUAAUUAUUGAUUAGUGAGAUUGAUCCUUAAAUAGAUUAAAAGAUUAAGAUACUUUAGGGAUAACAGCGUUAUUUUUUUUGAGAGUUCUUAUCGAAGAAAAAGUUUGCGACCUCGAUGUUGAAUUAAAGUAUCUUUAUGGUGCAGCCGCUAUAAGAGAGAGUCUGUUCGACUUUUAAUACUUUACAUGAUCUGA
rnacentral:rRNA from 1 species